rnacentral:ncRNA from 1 species
CAUCGCGAGAUGGAAUCUGAAGGAAGCUGGAUGUGAGGAACAUACUAACUCACGGGCAAAUCUCUGGUCUGACGAACAGAAAUCUUAUAAGAGGUCAUGCAUGAGGGCAAGGUUGCAUACCAAAUCGAAGCCCAAUAACUACACGGAAUCAUGUCUGUGAUUUGGGCG